GAGGCACUCUUAUGGACCAGACUUGCUUCAGUGUGGCUUUAGUGCUCACUGAGUCUGCCCCUUGAGUGUGUCUCU
rnacentral:pre_miRNA from 1 species